rnacentral:rRNA from 1 species
AUUGAACGCUGGCGGCAUGCCUUACACAUGCAAGUCGAACGGCAGCACGGGUUCUUGCACCUGGUGGCGAGUGGCGAACGGGUGAGUAAUACAUCGGAACGUACCUUAUCGUGGGGGAUAACGCAGCGAAAGCUGUGCUAAUACCGCAUACGCCCUGAGGGGGAAAGCGGGGGAUCGAAAGACCUCGCGCGAUUAGAGCGGCCGAUGCCUGAUUAGCUUGUUGGUGGGGUAAAAGCCCACCAAGGCGACGAUCAGUAGCUGGUCUGAGAGGACGAUCAGCCACACUGGGACUGAGACACGGCCCAGACUCCUACGGGAGGCAGCAGUGGGGAAGUUUGGACAAUGGGGGCAACCCUGAUCCAGCAAUGCCGCGUGAGUGAAGAAGGCCUUCGGGUUGUAAAGCUCUUUUGUCGGGGAAGAAACACCGGCUCUAACACAGUCCGGGAAUGACGGUACCUGAAGAAUAAGCACCGGCUAACUACGUGCCAGCCGCCGCAGUAA